rnacentral:lncRNA from 1 species
GUAUCAUCUUAGUCAAUAACAUUUUUGCAACGCCAUACAAACGCUCCACACCGCGUGGCCGCUGCCACUCUAACCUGGUGGUCCCAGCGCGCACGACCCACGUGGAGUUCCAGGUCUCCAGCAGCCUCUGGAACUGCCGGUCUGCGGCCAACAAGGCAGAGUUCAUCUCAGCCUAUGCUACCCUCCAGUCCCUAGACUUCCUGGCGCUGACGGAAACAUGGAUCACCACAGAUAACACUGCUACUCCUACUGCUCUCUCCUCGUCUGACUACGUGUUCUCGCAUACCCCUAGAGCAUCGAGCCAGCGGGGUGGUGGCACUGGAAUCCUCAUCUCUCCCAAGUGGACAUUCUCUCUUUCUCCCCUGACCCAUCUGUCUAUCUCCUCAUUUGAAUUCCAUGCUGUCACAGUUACCAGCCCUUUCAAGCUUAACAUCCUUAUCAUUUAUCGCCCUCCAGGUUCCCUUGGAGAGUUCAUCAAUGAGCUUGACGCCUUGAUAAGUUCCUUUCCUGAGGAUGGCUCACCUCUCACAGUUCUGG